ACUUGAUGGCACUGGUGUUGGAGGAGGUGUUUCAGGAACCAGAACCAUUCAUGGUGGAGCUGCAGAAAAUGCCUGACUCUCAAAAAGAAGGAGGGGUGGCUCGACACGUGUCCAGGUGUAGUCAAGGGGCGGGCCGAAGCCAACAUACUGUCCAGUUGGGUCAGGAAACUCGGGGCGAAUCCUCAGGACGACACACAACAGGACAACCACUCUGCAGUCUGCCAAGUGUCUGCACAGCCUGUAUGGAGACAAUAUAGUUGGAUGUAAAAAUGUUACUUCUCAUUGUAUAUUUACACGUAUAGUUCUACACAUUUAAAUGUUUUUUUAACCUUAGCUGAGAAUAAAGAACUUUCAAGAAA